CAUCAGUAAAUUUAUCGAGUAGUGGCGAACGAUAUUCGUUCAAUGACGUUAUUCAUAUUUCUAAUAAUUACUGUACGUCGCACAUAAAUAUAGAUUUAUUUUACAAAGAGCUCUAGUGUUUGUCGAUCUAUCAUUCUAACCUUUCAUUACUUGUGCGAAACUGUACAAGAAACUUACAUUCACAGUUUUUAAUAGUCAAUAAACAUUCAAUAAUAAUUAAUUUAAAUACAUACUAAUUUUAUAUCAAGUCAAAAAAAAACAGUUUAAUUCUUAUUCAAUUUGUGUUUGUGACAAUUCAUUUUACAACUAAUCAAUUUACAGAUAAUAUGUGUUGUAACGAUCAAAAUCAAACCGUCGAUAAUCACAUUCACAGUUUACGUUUAUUAAAGUUAUAUAAAUUAUUUCUUCACGUUUCAAUAAAUUAUUCACAGAAAUCAUACAGAAGAUCACGCUGCCAUACAAUAUGAUUCCAAACAUAAAGUUAAUAUGUA
rnacentral:lncRNA from 1 species